rnacentral:rRNA from 1 species
ACGGCGAGUGAAGCGGCAACAGCUCAAAUUUGAAAUCUGGCUCCUUCGGGGCCCGAGUUGUAAUUUGCAGAGGAUGCCUCGGGUGCGGGUAACCUACCGAGUUCCCUGGAACGGGACGCCAUAGAGGGUGAGAGCCCCGUCUGGUAGGACACCCAGCCCGUGUGAGGCUCCCUCGACGAGUCGAGUAGUUUGGGAAUGCUGCUCUAACGGGAGGUAUACUCCUUCCAAGGCUAAAUACCGGCUGGAGACCGAUAGCGCACAAGUAGAGUGAUCGAAAGAUGAAAAGCACUUUGAAAAGAGAGUCAAAUAGCACGUGAAAUUGUUGAAAGGGAAGCGCUCGCUACCAGACUUGGGUUAGGCGGUUCAACCGGGGCCACGCCCCGGGGCACUCCGCCUGCCCAGGCCAGCAUCAGCUUUCCGUCGGGGGUAAAGGCGUCGGGAAUGUGGCUCUCCUUCGGGGGAGUGUUAUAGCCCGUCGCGU